rnacentral:rRNA from 1 species
AACGAACGCUGGCGGCAUGCCUAACACAUGCAAGUCGAACGAGACCUUCGGGUCUAGUGGCGCACGGGUGCGUAACGCGUGGGAACCUGCCCUUAGGUUCGGAAUAACUCCCCGAAAGGGGUGCUAAUACCGGAUAAUGUCUUCGGACCAAAGAUUUAUCGCCUUUGGAUGGGCCCGCGUUGGAUUAGCUAGUUGGUAGGGUAAAAGCCUACCAAGGCGACGAUCCAUAGCUGGGCUGAGAGGAUGAUCAGCCACACUGGGACUGAGACACGGCCCAGACUCCUACGGGAGGCAGCAGUGGGGAAUAUUGGACAAUGGGCGAAAGCAUGAUCCAGCAAUGCCGCGUGAGUGAUGAAGGCCUUAGGGUUGUAAAGCUCUUUUAACCGGGAUGAUAAUGACAGUACCGGGAGAAUAAGCUCCGGCUAACUCCGUG